rnacentral:hammerhead_ribozyme from 1 species
GCACUGGUGAGGAGUCCCACACUAGGACGAAACGGCCGUCCAGUUC